AAAUUUUACAAGAAAAAAUAUAUAUAUAGAGAGAGAGAGACAUACAGUCUCAGCCCACUACCACCACCAUUAUCACAGCACCUGGACUGUGAGGAGAUUAGAGGCAGCUGAUGACUGUCCCAGAAGGAGCCGAAAGUGCUGAAGGACAGACAUCCUGAGGAAAUGGGGCUGGCAGAGUGGACCUGGCAAAUGGUUUGGAUAAUGAGCGCCUAGGCUACCAUCACUUUCUUACAGAGGAAGUGAUUCAUGCACUGUUUUGUCCUGCAGAUGCGUCCUGCCCUUGAACAACAGACUCCAAGUUUUUCAGCUUUUGGACUCUUGGACUACACCAUUGGUUUGCCAGGGGUUCUCAGGCCUUUGGCCACAGACUGAAGGCUGCGCUGUCGGCUCCCCUACUUCUGAGGUUUUGGGACUCAGACUGGCUUCCUUACCCCUCAGCUUGCAGACGGCCUAUUGUGGGACCUCACCUUGUGAUCGUGUGCAUCAAUACUCCUUAAUAAACUCCCCUUCAUAUAUA